ensembl:lncRNA
UUUUAUUUUUCCUUAAAAAAAAUGUAAAGAAUAAGAUGUUUACACACACGUAUUCAUUGAAAAUAUGUUAUUCCUUUUUAACUUGUCCAGUGCGAAAACAAUACAGACCCAAACUCAGACUCCCGUCUUUCCUGAAGAAAAUGAGUUUUUCCAGGCACCCCGAAGAGAGGAUUGUUCCCACCUGCAAUGUAGAAAUGAUGUCAUGGAGAAGGAUUUCAUCAGAAGAGAUUUUUUGAAAAGGGCAACAGACACCAUAAACAAAGGAUUAGCAAUACAAACAAUAGACUUUCACCCGCUUUUUGCUUCGGUCAUAUGCUAAUUAUGCCUGGCGUACUGAAAAAGCGGGAGCAACAGUCAGUCCUGGACAAGGUUGUUUAAACAAAUUCAAACCCCUCCAUGUGCUUCUGCGACUACAUUUUCCACUUGAAUAGCCACAAGUCCGAAUCCUGCUCCUCCAUCUGAGGGGAACUUCUCAUUAGAUAUUCCACCCUUAAUCCGUCCCAGCUGCUGAGGCCGGAUUUGUUUCAGCUGUCCCGAGAGACAGAGGGUCCCAGAUGCGAAACAAGACUUUCAGAGCAGAUGGCAUCUUGUGAAAGAUUCAGAUCACCCCCACUUCUCUAAUAGACUCUUUUAAGUUAUUUUAAGCUUUGUUAUUUAUAUAACUUAUAAAUUAUUGUAAAUUAAAAAUUCUGAUUGCUGGUGUCUUUUUAAAUAGCACAUCCUUACAUCCUGUUUUACAAGACUAUCUAGAGCAGAGGG